AUACAUGCCAAACUAAAUUUUAUCUGUUGUAUUUCACUCUCUUCUUAGUCAUUAUUUAUUUAGAUUAUACAUUGACCAAGGUUAAAUAUUUGUGCAUUUAUUUGUAGCUUUUUGCUACACUGCUCAUUCACAUUGCAGCCUCAGAGUUAAAUGUAGGAGAGCAUGAAUUUCUAUAACAAGCUGACUGCUGGCUACCUGUGAGUAGCUGAAUUUUGCCUUCCCCUUCCACGUUUUUUUGAUUUAAUGUGGAAAUGAAUUCAGGCAUAAUGCUCGUGACAAUCUAUUUACAGCCAAUAGUUGAUGAGAAUUCUUUGGACCAGAAAAGGGCUUUUUAGUCAGUAGAGGGCUCCCCAUCCUGUAAUAAUAAAUGAUGUUGCUUGAAAAUAC